rnacentral:rRNA from 1 species
GACGAACGCCGGCGGCGUGCUUAACACAUGCAAGUCGAACGAUGACGACCGAGCUUGCUCGGUCUGAUUAGUGGCGAACGGGUGAGUAACACGUGAGCAACCUGCCCUUCACUCUGGGAUAACCUCGGGAAAUCGGGGCUAAUACCGGAUAUGAGCUCCUGUCGCAUGGCGGGUGUUGGAAAGUUUUUCGGUGAAGGAUGGGCUCGCGGCCUAUCAGUUUGUUGGUGAGGUAGUGGCUCACCAAGGCGAUGACGGGUAGCCGGCCUGAGAGGGCGACCGGCCACACUGGGACUGAGACACGGCCCAGACUCCUACGGGAGGCAGCAGUGGGGAAUAUUGCACAAUGGGCGAAAGCCUGAUGCAGCGACGCCGCGUGAGGGAUGACGGCCUUCGGGUUGUAAACCUCUUUCAGCAGGGAAGAAGCGAAAGUGACGGUACCUGCAGAAGAAGCGCCGGCUAACUACGUG